rnacentral:rRNA from 1 species
UGAGUGCGAGUGGAAGGCGGCACAGCUCCAACGGAGUAUCUGGCUUUGGCCCGAUUGUAAUUUGUAGAAGGUGCUUCGGACUUGAUAAUGGUUCAUGUCCCUUGGAAUCGGGCGUCAUAGAGGGUGAAAAUCCCGUAUCUGCCGAAUUAUCUGUCCAUGUGAAGCCCUUUCGACGAGUCGAGUUGUUUGGGAAUGCAGCUCAAAAUGGGUGGUAAAUUUCAUCUAAAGCUAAAUAUCAGCCAAAGACCGAUAGCGAACAAGUAGAGUGAUCGAAAGAUGAAAAGUACUUUGAAAAGAGAGUCAAAUAGCACGUGAAAUUGUUGAAAGGGAAGCGCUUGUAACUAGACUUGCUUGCGAUGUUCAGCCUUCGAAAGAAAUGGUGUACUCAUUCGCCGGCAGGCCAACAUCGAUUUCGACGGUCGGACAAAGACUUAGGGAAAGUAGCUUGCUUCGGGAAGUGUUAUAGCCCGAGUGUCAUGCGGCCAGUUGAGAUCGAGGAUUGUGCUUAUGCAAGGAUGUUGGCCUAAUGGUUGCCAGCGACCCGUCUUGAAACACGGACCAAGGAGUCAAAAAAUCAUGCGAGUGUUUGGGUGUAAAACCCUCACGCGUAAUUAAAGUGAACGUAGGUAGGAGCUUCGGCGCACUAUCGACCGGUCUGAGUUCGCGAGGAUCUGAGUAUGAGCGUGUUUUUUUGGACCCGAAAGGUAAGUCACAUCCCUCCGGUCCUUUUUAUCCUAUAUAACCACUAAUGGGCGUAAUUAGAAGAUGAACUAUAUUUGGCUAAGCUGAAGCCAGAGAAAAUUCUGGUGGAAGGUUGCAGCGGUUCUGACGUGCAAAUCGAUCGUCAAAGCUGAUUAUAGGGGCGAAAGACUAAUCGAAUCUUCUAGUAGCUGGUUCCUGUCGAAGUUUCCCUCAGGAUAGCAGUAACGAAUUAAACAGUCUCAUGAGGUAGAGCAACGAUUAGAGGCCUUGGGGCAGAAACUGCCUUAACCUAUUCUCGAACUCCGAAUAUGUGAGAAGUCCUUGUUACUUAAUUGAACGUGGACAUUGGAUUAUCGACAAUCCCA